UCGCAGACAGCAAGCUGCCGGACAUGCAGGCGGGUUGGGAGCAGAUGUGUUCCAACGUGAUGGCGGGGCUGUCGGGCUGCAACAUGAUCUAUGAGGCGG
rfam:Sulfitobacter sp. EhC04 A4_Contig13, whole genome shotgun sequence.